AAUAGUAACAAGACACAACCUUGUUGAUCUAAAACAGUCUGGAAUGCUAAGAAAAAAGACGAUUCACCUGGGAAAAGGUCUUACAUUUCCUUCUGUUGCUACUGAUGAAAAUGAUCUUCAUUAAAGAAAAAGACCCAGACCCACGGACAGCAUCACCCGAAGCAAACUGGCAGGGAUCAGACACUGCAUUGUAAAGAUUAAGCAGCACUGGGCCCCAACACAGAUGGGACUGUGGCCUACAGGGAGAUCUGCAGUCAGAGCCAGUACUUCAGACUACUGCCAGCAGAGACAAGGGGCCAUGAGGGCUCGAGUUUUCUCCUCCAAAUCUUGGUCGAUGGCAAAAAUGAUCUUGGCCCGCUCCUCUGCCUUCUUGUCUCCGGAGUUCCUGAAGAGCCUCUGCAGGGACUCCUGGUCUAUGUUCUCAAAGAUGUUGCCCACAGCUUUCUUGCGAGCGGCUGUGUCGAAGUGGUAGCCGUGGAUGGACGGGCUUACUCGAAGAGACGAGGACAUGCUGGUGGCUUGAUGGCUUGGCUUGGCUUUCAUCGAUGUGGGUCUUCCACGGCUCAGCUUGGGCACUUCCAGGGGAGUCUGUUGUAAAAAUCGUCCCAGGACGGCUAUUUAAAGGGUGAACAAAGCUCGGGACUCAAAUUACACUGGUGACGUCACAUUGAUCCCAGGGAGGAAAAAACCACAGAACAUUAACAGUUGCCUUGCCAAAGAUCUGGCUCCGGAUGCUAGAAUGCAUUUCAAAGCUUGUUUAGAGAUAGCUGGCUACAAGCUUGCCUCUUUACACCUCAGACGGCAUUGUGCCUUACAAACUGGCUCUUCCUUCCAGAAGCUGAAAUCAGGAGAGAGAGAGAAAAGAAAAGGCUCCAAAUCUUUGCCUACGAUUGAAACAAGGAGUUCUGCCAAGCUCAACAGAGUUUCAAUUAGUACAAAAGUUUUAAAGUGUGGGCCAGACCCUGGCAGCCUAGGUCUGUGUGCCUUUUGCCUGUCCCUAUCAGGGUGAGGGUGAGGAAGUCAGAAGAAAAAAAAAAUGCUUGGGAGGACAGGACGUCUGACUCUGGAGCUAAAGUUUACUGACAUGGCUCAGCCCGAAAGCACAAAUCUCAAACUGUACCUGAGUGCUGUAUGUAAUUUCUGCUGGGAACUGCAAUUUAAACAGUAAUAGCGGCAGAUGGUAGCUCCCCAGCUUGUGUAAGUAUUGACAGCAACGACUAUUCAAAAGCAAGGAGCAAAGGUUAAUGGUGGUGCUGUGGGUACUUAAUGCCCACAAGGAAUGAGCUGAUCUUUUGUUUUGAGGGCUACUUUGGAGUCACUCAGCAUUAUCAGAAUGCUGCUAUCUUCAUUACACUCUUUUAAUCUAUUACUUUUGCUAUCCACAAGACUCAGAUACGUACAGCUGUUCUAUGCUAAAUGUCACCUUCCUCUGACCUAGAGAUUCCUCUUUAUGAUUCAAAUCUCUACUCUCCUUUCUGGUCCUCCAAGAAACUAGAAUGGACUUUUUAUGUUAUUUCACUUAUAGUCAAGAAAAUCACACGCCUAUAACCCCAUCUGUCUUAGAAGGCUGAGGCAGACUAGCAAGCUGCAGGACAGACUGAACUACACAGGAAUGAAUGCCCUGUCUCAGAAUUAAAUUAAAUGAAUAAAAUAG
ensembl:lincRNA Gm26714 predicted gene, 26714